CCUACGGGAGGCAGCAGUGAGGAAUAUUGGUCAAUGGACGCAAGUCUGAACCAGCCAUGCCGCGUGCAGGAUGACGGCCCUAUGAGUUGUAAACUGCUUUUGUACGGGGAUAAACUCAGAUACGUGUAUCGGUCUGUAUGUAUCGUACGAAUAAGGAUCGGCUAACUCCGUGCCAGCAGCCGCGGUAAUACGGAGGAUUCAAGCGUUAUCCGGAUUUAUUGGGUUUAAAGGGUGCGUAGGCGGUCGGAUAAGUUAGAGGUGAAAGCCCGAGGCUCAACUGUGGAAUUGCCUGUGAUAAUGGUCGUCUAGAGAGUAGGUGCGGUAGGCGGAAUGUAUGGUGUAGCGGUGAAAUGCUUAGAGAUCAUACAGAACACCGAUUGCGAAGGCAGCUUACCGGGCUACAACUGACGUUGAGGCACGAAAGUGUGGGGAGCAAACAGGAUUAGAUACCCCUGUAGUC
rnacentral:rRNA from 1 species